AGCAGCAGCGCCAUGUCCUGGUACCGCAACACCGUGUGGUUCGUGAAGGGGCUGCGGGAGUACACGAGAGGUGGUUAUGAGUCUGCUUCCAAGCGCUUCAACCCAGCUGAUGUGGAGGUGGAUGUGGCUGGAAGAUCCUUCCUGGUCACUGGAGCAAACAGUGGCAUUGGCAAGGCCACGGCCAAGGAGAUAGCGAGGAGAGGUGGCACGGUUCAUCUGGUUUGCCGAAAUAAGGAACGGGCUGAAGUUGCCAAAGAGGAAAUAGUGACAGAAACGGGCAAUCAGAACAUCUUCUUGCAUAUUGUGGAUAUAUCUAAUCCCAAGGAAAUAUGGAAGUUUGCUGAAAAAUUCCGAAAUGAACAUAAAUUAAAUGUGUUGAUCAACAAUGCGGGAUGUAUGGUGAAUAACAGAGAGUUAACUGAAGAUGGACUUGAAAAAAACUUUGCAACAAACACUUUGGGUACAUACAUCAUGACAACUGCCCUGGUGCCCCUCCUGGAAAAGGCAGCUGAUGCCAGAGUGAUCACUGUCUCUUCUGGGGGCAUGCUAGUUCAAAAACUAAAUGUAUCUGACUUGCAGUCGGAAAGUGGGCCAUUUGAUGGAACCAUGGUGUAUGCACAGAACAAGAGACAGCAAGUUGUCCUGACAGAACAGUGGGCAAAGGCUCACAGAAAUAUCCAUUUCUCUGUGAUGCACCCCGGCUGGGCAGACACCCCAGGUAACAUCUGCUUCACACUCUGACGAUAUUUUUUCUUUUCAGGAUUAGUUUAAAAGCAAAGAGAAAUGAAACUUCCUAGUAUAUUUUUCCAACAAGUGCAGUAAUUUCUUUUCUCCAAGCUGGUGCUUGAAGUAGUUUUCUAUCCCCUUGGUGGCUCUAUUCUGCACAGUGUCUGCUAGCUGUGUAUAGCUAGAGAAUAAUAAUGGGCAGUGAAUGCUUCCAGCCCUGCACAAAUGCACAGCAGAGACACAGUUCUUUAAGGUAACCUUUAAAUUGCAUUUGUAGUGGAACUGUUAAACACACAGAUGGACCUUCUGCCUCUGUAAGUACCAAUGCGCAGACACUGGGAAUUUGUGAGGGCAUGUAGGAGAAUGCACCACUGUGCAAGCCCUCUGCUCUUCCUCUAAACAUUUACUGCUAUUGAGAAGCAGUUUUGUCUUUGUCUGAGCUGCAGCUGUUCUUCAGUGACUGCUUCUGAGCAGGUGGGCCAGUAUCAGUCAUACACUAUGCAUGUUGCAUUCCCCAAUGUUUCCAGUCCCCAGUGCCCAAGGCUGGGAUGCAGAAUAGCAGUUACAUCUCUAGGUCUUUUAUAGGGAUGCAGUUUCCAAAAUUUGCUUCUGACAACAGAAGCAUUUACCCUGUCUAUGCUUGAAAACAGCCCUUUCCAACUAAAUAUCCUGGUAUUUCUUUUUCUUUAAAAUACAUUUAUUUUUGCACUUCCUUUGCAGAUUUCAAACUUAAUGAACCGUAAAGUUACCCCACCUUAAAGUUCAAAGACUCUCCAACCCCCCAAAAUAAACACCUACAUUGGAUGGGCCCACAGUCACCAUCUGUUGGACAAAAUAAAAUGAAACCAGAGUUUAGACAGCAACUGUGAGGUCAUCCAUGCCGGAUUUCUACGAGAGGAUGAAGAACUCUCUGCGCACGGAGGCCCAGGGAGCC